GAGAUAGCUCAGUUGACAGAUCAUGAGACUCUUAAUCUCAGGGUUGUGUGUUUGAGCCACAUGUUGGGCA